UCCGUUGAGGAGGGCUUUUCUUCAGUGUAAGGAGCUGGGGGAAUAAAGGGGGGGCAAGACUGGUGUCAGCCGCCGCGGUAAUACCAGCCCCCUGAGUGAUAGGGACGAUUAUUUAGCCUAAAGCGUCCGUAGCCGGCUUAACAAUUCUUUCGUUAAAUCUGACGUCUCACGCGUCAGGCUGCGGGANAUACUAUUAGGCUAGAGGGCGGGAGAGGUUGACGGUAAUCCUGGGGUAGGGGUGAAAUCCAAAAAUCCUAGGAGGACCACCAAUGGCGAAGGCGGUCAACUAGAACGCACCUGACGGUCAGGGACGAAAGCUGGGGGAGCGAACCGGAUUANACACCCGGGUAGUCCCAGCUGUAAACGAUGCNAGCUAGGUGUUGGGGCANCUACNUGCUGUCCCAGUGCCGCAUAGAANUCAUUAAACUCGCCGCUUGGGUAUUACGGCCGCAAG
rnacentral:rRNA from 1 species